GGCUCUGAUUGUCCAAACGCAAUUCUUGUACAAAUAAACCCAAGAAUAGUGUUCUGGACAUCACCGCUU
rnacentral:pre_miRNA from 1 species